UUGCAGUUAAAAAGCUCGUAGUUGGAUUUCUGGGAGGGUGCCAAUGUCCGCCGACGUGCGUGCGCAGCGGCGCCCUUCCAUCCUUCUGUUAACGCCUCUUGGCAUUCAUUUGCUGGUGGCGGGCUCAGAUAUUUUACCUUGAGAAAAUUAGAGUGUUUCAGGCAGGCUAGGCCGGAAUACAUUAGCAUGGAAUAAUGGAAUAGGACUACGGUCUCUUUGUUGGUUUGAGGGACUGCAGUAAUGAUUAAUAGGGAUAGUUGGGGGCAUUAGUAUUUAAUUGUCAGAGGUGGAAUUCUCGGAUUUGUUAAAGACUAACUUAUGCGAAAGCAUUUGCCAAGGAUGUUUUCAUUAAUCAAGAACGAAAGUUAGGGGAUCAAAGACGAUCAGAUACCGUCCUAGUCUUAACCAUAA
rnacentral:rRNA from 1 species